GCUAAAGCAGUGAAGGAGAGAAAAAAUAUCUGGUUUUCUUCAGAGAGCCGACGGGUGGUGAGAGUCGGUGAAAACAGAUAUAGAAUAACUCGCUCCUGAGUGAAUGUCUGAAGGAUAAGUCUGUGUAAGACAUUCCGGUGGUGCAAACCAUCGUUAACAAUGACAAGAUUACGGCUUGCCGUAAAUUAGGGUGGUACCGCGAACAUAACUCCUUUUCGCCCCUAUA
rnacentral:ncRNA from 1 species